rnacentral:rRNA from 1 species
CAUAUUGGUGUAAAGUGCAUGAAGAAACUCCAUGCUGAUGGGCUUCUGGAAUCACUUGAUUAUGAAUCACUUGAUACUUGCGAACCAUGCCUCAUGGGCAAGAUGACUAAGACUCUGUUCUCCGGAACAAUGGAGCGAGCAACAGACUUGUUGGAAAUAAUACAUACUGAUGUAUGCGGUCUGAUGAGUGUUGACGCUCGCGGCGGGUAUCGUUAUUUUCCGACCUUCAUAGAUGAUUUGAGCAGAUAUGGGUAUAUCUACUUGAUGAAACAUAAGUCUGAAACAUUUAAAAAGUUCAAUGCAUUUCAGAGUGAAGUGGAAAAUCAUCGUAACAAGAAAAUAAAGUUUCUACGAUCUGAUCGUGGAGGAGAAUAUUUGAGUUACGAGUUUGGUCUUCAUUUGAAACAAUGUGGAAUAGUUUCGCAACUCACGCCACCUGGAACACCACAACGUAAUGGUGUGUCCGAACGUCGUAACCACACUUUAUUAGAUAUGGUACGAUCUAUGAUGUCUCUUACUGAUUUACCGCUAUCGUUUUGGGGUUAUGCUUUAGAGACGGCUGCAUUCACGUUAAAUAGGGCACCAUCUAAAUCCGUUGAGACGACACCUUAUGAAUUGUGGUUUGGC